AAGAGCAAGAGCAAGAGCGGCCCAUGUAAACAUUGCCCCACACUCCCUCGAUUUGCUACACGGAGAAGAUUAAUCGGGUCUCCAAGGCUGUGUUUUCCAUUCAAGGUGCAGACGUCGUGGAAAACUGCACUGUGGUCACUAAACAAUCCACGAAAAGCCCAUCAACUCCUGCGAGAGGCUUUCCGGACGGUGAAUUGAGCACGGACACUCCUCACUCUUCCUCUGAAACCCCAAUCAACAAUCAAGAAUAAGACAUAAGUGGGAGCCAUUACCAAGGCAAUCCCACGCCUACUACUGGACUGGACUGGACUGGACUUACCGGGAACGUAAAAACACCCAAGAAGAAGAAAAUUGUCCCGUGUUAAGUGUACCCAAACAAUCUAUUAUUUACUUCAGCAAACGAAGGUCAUCCAGAUCGCAUUGAGAGUGGCCGCGGGACAUGAUUGGUUCAAAAUGUUGGGGCUUCGUUGUGUUGUUUGCCGUCUGCGUGGAAGGUGUCACUCAGGAAAAGCUAAAUGGUUCCAGUCUAACCCCAACUAGUGUUAUGAAAACAGCCGUAGAUGGGCUCCUCGGCCGUCUUCUUCACGAGAGGAGUAGAGAAUUUAUAGUGGAGAUAAGAAGAGGAACAGAAAGUGAUUAUUUUAAGGUUAUUGGGGAAGGCGUUGCGGGCCAGCCAGUACGAGUGUGGGCUGGAAGUGGUGUUUCUGCGGCCCAGGGUGUGAUGACCUUUCUGAAGUAUAUGUGUCAUGCCUCAGUCUCAUGGGAGGCUGAUCUCUUGGGAAGGUUACCAGCUGUCUGGCCAAAAGGGAUCAUUGAAAAGCAGAUCUUACACAGAUACCGUCACUACAACAACCCAUGUGUGUUCUCUUACUCCUACGCGUUCUGGACAUGGCAUCGCUGGGAGAGGGAGAUUGACUUAAUGGCUCUCAUGGGUGUGAACAUGGCGCUGGUACUUGAGGGUCAGGAAACUCUCUGGCGACAAGUCUACAUGGAGUUGGGGUUAACCGAUGAAGAAUUAGAGGACCACUUUUCCGGAUAUGCUUUUCUUGCGUGGGGCCGGAUGGGCAACAUUGAGAGGUGGGGCGGGCCACUCUCCCAUCAGUGGAUGCAGGAAAGACUUGAGAUCCAGAAGAAAAUUGUAAAGCGAAUGAGAGAAUUUGGUAUGCUGACUGUUCUUCCAGCAUUCUCCGGCCAUGUUCCAAAGGGAUUAUUAAGACUGUUCCCAGAUGCAAAUGUGACGAAACUGCCUGCGUGGGGUCACUUCUCUGAACCGUACACGAGAACCUAUUUCCUGGACCCAAAGGACCCUCUGUUUGUGAAAAUUGGGGAAGAAUUCGUAAGAAAGGUAAUCUUAGAAAUGGGCACAGACCACCUCUACCUCAGUGACCCAUUCAAUGAAAUGACCCCAGCAUCAUCCAACCUAACUUACUUGGCAGACGUCAGCCGCUCCAUAUAUAGAUCACUUACUAAAGGUGACCCACAGGCAAUCUGGGUGACUCAGGGCUGGAUGUUUUUCAGCGAUGAGGACUUUUGGCAAAAACCUCAGGCAAAGGCAUAUCUUACUUCAGUCCCUCAGGGCAAGAUGUUGGUCCUUGAUUUAGCCGCAGAAGUUUACCCUCAGUACGGACGCUUGGAGAGUUUCUAUGGGCAGCCUUUUGUCUUCUGUUUACUGAACAACUAUGGAGGAGUGAGAGGUCUCUUUGGCAACGUUGGAAUUCUUAUGAAGAACCUGCAGGAGGCACAGCAGUAUCCCAACUCCAGCAUGGUUGGGACAGGCAUGACUCCAGAAGGCAUUGGGUCAAAUUAUGUAAUAUUUGAUCUUAUGUCCGAAAUGUCCUGGAGAAGCAAUAUAGAAAAUGUGGCAGAAUGGGCGGUCCAGUACGCUAGGAGGAGAUAUGGAGCUCGAAAUAAGAAGUUAGAAGAGGCGUGGAAGCUGCUGCUGGCGAGCAUCUACAAUUGUUCUCAGCCGAUCAGGUUUCAUGGACGAUUCAUUCCGUUGAUGAGGCGACCCACCCUGAGGCCAAAGACAAAGAUUUGGUACUUCCUGAAAGACUUAGUAAUGGCGUGGGACCUUCUGAUUCACACAGCUAAAGGACAUCAAAGACACCGAAAUAUCUGUGAAAUUAAGAGACACGGCCUGAAUGUGACUGCAGCAAGAGAUCGUAAUGAAAUCCUGCUGCCAUUAAGUGGAUUCAAACCCUCUGGAAAUGAAAGCCGAGUUCAAAAGAAAAAGAACCAAAAGUGCAGAGGUCAGACUAAAGGAAAGAAAAGAACAUAUGACAGCGAUGGAAAUGUUUUAAAGGAAGAGCUUGAUUUAUUUGACGAAGAGACAUACAAGUACGAUCUGGUAGAAGUAACGCGGGAACUGAUGCAGAUAGCUGCUGCAACCCUGAUCAAGAGACUUAUCACCAGUUACAGAAAUGGAGAUGUUCCUGCAGUUGAGAUCCACAGCAAUCAACUACAAGACCUCAUAAAGGACAUGGAUAUACUUCUUGGGAGUAAUUCGGUUUACCUUUUGGGAAGCUGGCUCCAGAGUGCAUCCGUUUGGGCUAAUGAUACAAAGGUAUAUUGCUCCCAGAUGGGGUGCGUUCAGCUCCUCCCUCCUAUCGGCAAUGAAAGCUGGGAUUGCAUUUGAUGAGGCAAAGUUCAAGAAUUAUGUGUUUGAAACUGUUGAGAAACCUUUUGCAGAGAAUGUAAACACCUUUUUCCCACCUACACCACAAGGUGAUCCAGUGAAGCUUGCUGUGAGAAUGUAUAAAAAGUACCGCCCACUGUUCACCAGAAGAAAGCUAAUGAAACAGUAUAUGAAGUUAGUUAUGAAAGCUGAAGAAUAAGGAAAUUGGGAGGGAUUUAACCAUACGCAUUUGAGGAAAGUCCCAGGUGAGUAACAUUUGUAAUUGGUGUGUUUGUGUGUAUUUACCUACAGGGGGGUCGCCUGAUAUGCGAACUUGGGAUAUGCGAACCACCUCAUAUGCGACCUCCUUCCUCCCUCCCUCCCCCCCUUGGGGGGUGGAGCACGUGGGAGCGGUGACUUGACUCGGUAGUAAGAGAAAAGUUUUUUUUUCAUUCAUUUCAUGUUCCCGACUUCGCUAACAUCCAUUUCCUACCAAAUAAUGAACUUGCUGUUACUCACUUCCCGAAGGAAGGGAAAUAAACAAUGGCGCAAUCUGGCAACUCUACUCUGUGAGACGGCUCCACGUGUUCUCUUCAUCAGUACGUCUAAAGCAGCCAUUGCUCUCACAAGCUGUGAGAGCAAUGGCGGGGCGUCCAGGUAGAAGUAGGGCCUUUUGACAGCGAAGAAGAAGAAGAAGAAGAAGAAGAAGAAGAAAACAUGUGAGCGGGACCACACCAGCGCUGGCGGUAAUACUACGAUAUACUAGGUUAAAGAGUUUGGGAAAAUGUGGCUGACCGCCCAUAUACCAUUAUUUACAUGCUUUUUAAGGUUCCUAAUAUGCGAAUUUGCGAUAUGCGAGGCUUUGAACCGCCCAUAUUCUCGCAUAUUAGACGACCCCCCUGUCGUUGUAUUUCACAGGUGGGCAAGUACUUUCAGAUUUUAGAUAAAGUUCAAUGUAAGAGGAAGCAGGGAAGGAUUUGUGAAAAGUGGUAAAAACAUUAACCGUGUAGCAGCGACGGGCCAGAUUUGUGGCUUUACCGUGUAGCAGCAACAGGCCAAAUUUGUGGCUUUACUGUGUAGCAGCGAGGAUCAUGUUUCUUAAUGGUCCCUCUAAGCGAGAAAAAUGAGAAAAAGUCACCCCUCACACAAACCAUUUCAUAAUACAUAUCAAAGCAUUUGUGAUCAGAUUAUGUAUCAUCUAUUUUAGGGGGUUUAUAUCAUGACACAAAUUUGGCCCGUCGCUGCUACACGGUAAAGCCACAAAUUUGGCCCGUCGCUGCUACACGGUAAAGCCACAAAUUUGGCGCAUCGCUGCUACACAGUAAAGCCACAAAUUUGGCCCGUCGCUUCUACCAGGUUAAUUCAAUGAUAUCAACAAAAUUCACCUAACUUGUAUAACAGAUGAAUAUUUCUCAACAUAGGCAUGAGUGUCGAGCGAGAGAGGUCAGACGCCCCGACCCCUCAGCAGCCAAAAGUGCCAACCAGCAGCAUCCUUACUUACUCAGCUAGGGAUCCAGUCACUGUUGGGAGGGAUCCAGCUAAAGUGAUGGGUUAUAGUAACAAUAUGGUAUAUUUUGAACUGGACUAUAUCCACGUAACAAACAUAUAAAGAGCAGAUACUGGUCUGAGCUACGUAAUUUCAGGUAAAAAUACAAAAUUUUGUCAUACAGGUAACUCGAUUUACACUAGUUUGGUUUACGCGUUUUUGAAAUAACGCGGGGUCCAAAAUCCAAAUAAAUGUUUAAUUUACACGUUUUUUCCACUUAAACACGAUAUUUUAUGGAGUGGCCACCAGAUGCCUCACACAGCGCCGCGGCCACACAGCUGAGCUCAGUUCUUCCCGCGCGCCUCUUGAACAACAAUACAGUACCCACGCUACUCAACAACAGCAACACCCUCGCUGCUGUGCUACCACAAGGGGAAGGGCAGCCAGGGGAGGAACCAUGAGAGGGAGAGGAGUCAGAGUGAUACAGUAGGCAAUAAAGGCAUGCACACUGUUGGCCCCGAGGAAGUGAUAUUGCCUCGGCCAGCACCAAGAGACAGCACCAUACACACAAACACCACCUACUUGCUCACGGCCGCCGCAGCCAACUACAAGCGUUGCCAAGUCUCCCGGUGCGGUUCUCCCCUUUCAAUCGUACAUCCAGAAAGGCACGUCAGACCCAGCUAUAAAAGUGCCCCGUCCCGUCCCGCCCCGCCUACUGUAUAUACGAAGCGUUGCUCCCGCCUCAGAGGGUGGAUGAGUGCUUGAGUGUGCCUGCCUGCCUGCCCCGUGCACUCACUCGGUGCCAUUAAUAUCUGGCCACGCUGGGCAGAGUUGCCACGUGUAUCUUUUUGUGCAGAAACGGCGAUGGUGGUGCCCAUGCAUGUGUGUCGAAUGAUUGAUUGAUUGAUAGUUUAUUGUUGCAGGUAAACAACAAGGGAGAAGGGAGGAACAUGCCAUCCCAACCCCCAGGCAGGACAGAGUUAGAUAUAUUGUAAAUAUGAAAUGGAAGUACUUGGAUACAAAAUAAUAAAUAGUUAACUUUAAUAUAAUAAUACUUAAAAUACAUUUGUGUUAUGCACGUCUAUUUCGUGUGGUGAUGAAUAAUUUUCUUUGUAAACUGAAGGGUGGCAGCAACCCACACCACCACACCCAGGCGUAAGCAAAAGUUGUUUCCCUUGUUGUGCUUUCCUUCCUACCAUUGUAUCAUUUUAGUUUCAUGGUGCUGCCCACACAUGUACUAAUAGUUGUAUAAUGUCCUGCCUGGGGGUUGGGAUGGCAUGUUCCUCCCUUCUCCCUUAAUUGUUGUUUACCUGCAACAAUAAACUAUCAAUCGAUCAAUCAUCAGGCGCGGGAUGUUUAACAAACCCAGGUUUUCCUGAUAUAACAGGGAGACUGGGGGUAAAUAUUUAUUCUUCUGGUGCAGGGAACAUCCAGGGAUCAUGUGACCUAUUUCAGUUCCCGACAUGGCAGCCUCCCAUACCAAAAUUAUAUUGUGAACUAGGGAUGGCACUCGUUCCUUAAAAUGCGGAUUCCUUCCGUGUUGUAGAGUGAGAUGCUGCGAUCCGUUUUGAACCGAUACGGAACGCCUAUUGUUCCAUAUUUAGCUAUCUGAAUGGUCAAGCAGAUAAGACUCAGUAUCUUAAUUAAAUUUGUAGUGAGCGUAUUUUUCGGUCAGUCACAAAACCAGUCCUUUAGCGUAUGCAUUUGUUAAGGGGGGCGGGUUGUUAUAUGGGCUAAUCCCAUGUUAAAAUGUGUAUGCUCUUGUUGCUUAAUUCUCCUCCUUUAUUUUAUGAAAAAUUUAUUUAAUUCAAAAAGCAUUUUGAUCAGAAAGGAUAAGAGAAUAAAGUUUACCCUUUUAUUAUUUGUAUAAAAUAGCAAAAAAUAUUUUUUAUCGAUCGAUGAAUAAAAAAUCAGCAUAAAAAUAUUCAUCAAAAUUCAAAAUCAACAUCAAACAAAAUGUACUAGAGUAGGAAUACUUCCUUUUGCAUAGUUUUACAAAACUGGAAUAGAAAAAAGUAGUGUAAUACGAAGUUUAUAGGAUGAGAAAAAAAAAAAACAUUUCAAGAAAGCAACCGAUGAAAGUUGGUUUGUCGGUAAAUUUGACGUGUUGAACCUAGAGACUUGCAUUUCGCAGGCUACAUACUGCAAUAUGAUAUAGAGAGUAAGUAGACAAAGUUUCUCUUACUCACCAUCACUGGUUGUGUAUAUGUUACAGGGAAAGUGUGAAAGCAGUCAUUUCAUGAA